rnacentral:snRNA from 1 species
AUGCUCACUUCGGCAGUACAUAUACCAAAAUUGGAACAAAACAGAGAAGUUUAGCAUGCCCCUGCGCAAGGAUGGCACACAAAUUUGAGAAGUGUUCCAUAUUGGG